AUUGAACGCUGGCGGCAGGCCCAACACAUGCAAGUCGAACGGUAACAGGAAGAAGCUUGCUUCUUUGCUGACGAGUGGCGGACGGGUGAGUAAUGUCUGGGAAACUGCCUGAUGGAGGGGGAUAACUACUGGAAACGGUAGCUAAUACCGCAUAACGUCGCAAGACCAAAAAGGGGGACCUUCGGGCCUCUUGCCAUCGGAUGUGCCCAGAUGGGAUUAGCUAGUAGGUGGGGUAACGGCUCACCUAGGCGACGAUCCCUAGCUGGUCUGAGAGGAUGACCAGCCACACUGGAACUGAGACACGGUCCAGACUCCUACGGGAGGCAGCAGUGGGGAAUAUUGCACAAUGGGCGCAAGCCUGAUGCAGCCAUGCCGCGUGUAUGAAGAAGGCCUUCGGGUUGUAAAGUACUUUCAGCGGGGAGGAAGGGAGUAAAGUUAAUACCUUUGCUCAUUGACGUUACCCGCAGAAGAAGCACCGGCUAACUCCGUG
rnacentral:rRNA from 1 species